CAAACCUGACUUGUAUAUUCCCGAAGAAUCAGAAAACAUUUAAACUCAUUUACGGCAGUUGUGAGAAAUAUGUAAAUCAGAAGACACUUGAGAAGACAUGGUUUUAAUGCUGUCCUCCUCUGCGGCCCACCCUCCUGCCUACUUAGAACUCUGUGUUCCUGCCUCCGGCCCUAGAGCCUUGCUGGCAGGGGACAGGAGGGACAAUGAUGUCCCUCUGCUGAAAUAAGGAAUGUUCAGUGUUGGCUGUCUGUUGAGCUGGGCAGGGGUGGUACAGGUUGUUGGGGCGUUAGAAGAGGAUGAGGAGGCGAAGCAAGAAGAAAUACUCUUGGGCUUGGGGUCUUUCUCCAGUUGGAGCAUGAAUCAAAGUCCCCCAGAGGACAGCUAAGAUCCCCUCCAACCCCAACCCCAUCCCAUAAUCUAGCUUCUGAAAACCCAGGUUAUACUUGGUCUCUUGGUUCCCUUGACUUGAAAUUUCAAAAAUGUGAAAGACAGG
rnacentral:lncRNA from 1 species